AUUGAACGCUGGCGGCAGGCCUAACACAUGCAAGUCGAACGAGUGGCGGACGGGUGAGUAAUGUCUGGGAACCUGCCUGAUGGAGGGAGAUAACUACUGGAAACGGUAGCUAAUACCGCAUACCACCAGAUGUGACCAGAUGGGAUUAGCUAGUUGGUGGGCUAACGGCUCACCAAGGCGACGAUCCCUAGCGGUUCUGAGAGGAUGACCGGCCACACUGGAACUGAGACACGGUCCAGACUCCUACGGGAGGCAGCAGUGGGGAAUAUUGCACAAUGGGCGAAAGCCUGAUGCAGCAAUGCCGCGUGUAUGAAGAAGGCCUUCGGGUUGUAAAGUACUUUCAGCGGGGAGGCGUUACCCAAAGAGGAAGCACCGGCUAACUCCGUGCCAGCAGCCGCGGUAAUAC
rnacentral:rRNA from 1 species